CAUGCACACACACAGCAUCUGGUCAACAAAUGCAAACAUUACAGAAGUGAUGACAUUGAUUUAAAAAAAAAAAAAAAAAACACAUGAAAUUUUUUUUUAAAAAAAAAUCUUCUGAGUAAUAAAUCCCAGAUGACAGCCAGAUGUUGGAUCCAGACUUUACGCAUUGUACAAGAUGUACGACUUCCACAGUUAGGUGCUGUUUCUACGUAUUGAUGUAUUGACCUACUAACUGCGUAAAACAAAUGAUGGCAUAUGUCCACCUCCCCCCCUCUCUCUCCCCCUCCCUGCCUCUCUCCCUGCCUCCCCCCGUCACCGUUAUCAGCCGCUGUCACUGUGUCGCACCUGGGAGAAGUGCUUAUUCUGGAGGAAAAACCGAGACGGUAUCUCUGCCUUACGCGCUCUUACACAACUCUCCAGAAAGUUGCGAGACCGGCUGCUCGAUAGUUAACUAUCCGAAAGGCCAGACUCAGCAUUUAUUUUCCCCUUGCUCACCCUGGGAUGAGCUCACUGACCCUCAGACCUACCGCCCCCUAUCUGCCGACAGAAAAGACCAGCUGUUUGCUGCUCCAGAGAGUCCAGAGAACGGCGCGCCAUCAAGAAUCCCAACAGAAAGAGAACAGAAAUAAAAACCAAAAACAUCACACGAAAUAAAACACCCCUGAAACUCUGCUCUCCUCCUUCCCUAUCAGCUCUGCAGGUUUUGGGGGGACCAGGGACCCGGUCCACAAGCUGCCCACCGUCCGGACGAGCUCCCCGAGGUUUUAUCCUCUCAGGUCAAGGACAGUUUCCAUCCUUUGUUGUCUUCUAACAGCGAGUACAAAGAGGUGGAGCCCAGACUGUCAGCAUCGACCCCACCACCCCUGGGAAAGCAUGCUGUCCCUGCUGAGGUUGAGGAGGAAGGAGGAGUUUCAUGCACCCUCAUGAAAGGUGUGCAGUCUUCGGUCAUGGCGUGGAGGUUUUGUUGCCUAACCUGCAGCUGGGAUCCGGGCGGGGCGAGGUCCAACCAGCAGAGGUGAGUUUCAUAACCGGAAGAUGAGGAGAGGAAGGUGAGGAUAGUGACGUCUUUACCUUUACAGGAGACUUGGGAAUGGGAGGUGACCUGUGAUGUCAUCAUGAGCGAGCAUCACUCCUCCUCUCGGUCUCUUUUUCACGUUCUGGAUAUUACUUUUCAUUUCCUAUAAAUCCUGAACAACCUCUGUUAUAAGGUUGAUGUUCAUGUAUUUGAAAAUGUGGCACUCUGAGUUUCUGUAUGAUGCCAGAUGUCACAAAGGUGAAUUAACAAGACAUCACACAGUUAGAAAAGGAGUGAGUGAUAUUCAUGAUUAAUCCAUGAAUGCCUAAUCUUUCUAUCAGCAUGUAUAAUCAGAAAUUAAAUCAAUAAUAAAUCAAAAAAAUUGCAACUGUUCA